UACGGAGGGUGCAAGCGUCAUCCGGAUUCACUGGGUUUAAAGGGUGCGUAGGCGGGCAGGUAAGUCCGUGGUGAAAUCUCUGAGCUUAACUCAGAAACUGCCAUGGAUACUAUUUGUCUUGAAUGUUGUGGAGGUAAGCGGAAUAUGUCAUGUAGCGGUGAAAUGCUUAGAUAUGACAUAGAACACCAAUUGCGAAGGCAGCUUACUACACAAAUAUUGACGCUGAGGCACGAAAGCGUGGGGAUCAAACAGG
rnacentral:rRNA from 1 species